CUGUUACAAGGCGAACUCCAAUUACAGGAGUGCUCUCAUUGUGAGGAGCUGAAAACUUGCAUUGCCACGGGGCAGCGAUCCAGGAAGAAGAACUGAGGCCAUUUCUACAAUCCACUACAGAUACGCCUCUUAAGAAAGAAGACAGAAGAAGAAUAGCAGCCCGAGUUCAUGUGUGGCAGCCCCGUGGUGGAAAUUCCCAGCCAUUACAUAGCACACUGGAGGGGGAACGUGGAGAGCAAGGAACUAUAUCAAUGAGAUUCAGAACGGGUUCAAGAUACCAUCGUUUUUCUGUCAAGAGGCGUUAAGAGAGG